AUCCUGGCUCAGAUUGAACGCUGGCGGCAUGCCUUACACAUGCAAGUCGAACGGCAGCACGGGGCAACCUGGUGGCGAGUGGCGAACGGGUGAGUAAUGCAUCGGAACGUGCCAUUGAGUGGGGGAUAACGUAGCGAAAGUUGCGUCUAAUACCGCAUAUUCUGUGAGCAGGAAAGCAGGGGACCGCAAGGCCUUGCGCUCUUUGAGCGGCCGAUGUCAGAUUAGCUAGUUGGUGAGGUAACGGCUUACCAAGGCGACGAUCUGUAGCGGGUCUGAGAGGAUGAUCCGCCACACUGGAACUGAGACACGGUCCAGACUCCUACGGGAGGCAGCAGUGGGGAAUUUUGGACAAUGGGCGCAAGCCUGAUCCAGCCAUGCCGCGUGAGUGAAGAAGGCCUUCGGGUUGUAAAGCUCUUUCGGCCGGGAAGAAAUCGCAUGGGUUAAUACCCUGUGUGGAUGACGGUACCGGAAUAAGGAGCACCGGCUAACUACGUG
rnacentral:rRNA from 1 species